ACAUCACGUUUUCCUUGUAUAACUGUGAAGGGCUCACAUGUCGAUUUGUCCUAUUUUGGCCUUCAGGAACAAUAAUUUUUUAAUAUAAAUGUAAAAGCUGCUCUGACUCUCAUCAUCUGCGUCAAGUUCUCUCGUGAGAUACGGUUUAAUCAACAGGGCUUCUCACAGCUCAUCUCAAUCUAAACCCCAGUAAAGGUUCAUCAUUUACCCGCUGUGUUACUCCAAAUCAUGUGUCCUUGACCUUUUGACCUUUUGACUCAAGCUCUGAGACGUCAUUUCCUGUUUACAGCCCGCAGUAUCAGCCCUUGAGGAGCAGGUUUGAGUUUAUACGGUUCACCACUGAAGCAUCUCUUCUGCUCUCAGACAGAACAGUGAAAAUAUGAAUGUUGUGAAGCUUUUCAGACAGAUGAGCUGGAUUGAGAAACGUGUAAGAAAGCCACUGGAUUGUAGAAUAGAAACAACACAUGCAGAAAACUACCGGAGCAUCAGAAAACACAGACCAACAAACACCAACAGCACAGAGAGAGAAACCAGUGCAUCACAAGAGAAAACACUGGUUAGAUGCCACAGUAUGGGGAAAUAAAGCCAGACUUUCUUACACUGAUGAAUACUCACAGAUCAGUGUGAUUGUGUGUAAAGGACAGGAUGUGUUUGGUGUAGAUUGUUUGCGUUCACAUACUUGUGCAAUAUUUUUCUUGGUUUUCUCAC